UACGUAGGGUGCGAGCGUUAAUCGGAAUUACUGGGCGUAAAGCGUGCGCAGGCGGUUCUCCAAGUCCGUUGUGAAAGCCCCGGGCUCAACCUGGGAAUGGCAGUGGAAACUAGGGGACUGGAAUCUGGCAGAGGGGGGUGGAAUGCCGCGUGUAGCAGCGAAAUGCGUAGAGAUGCGGCGGAACACCGAUGGCGAAGGCAGCCCCCUGGGCUGAGAUUGACGCUCAGGCACGAAAGCGUGGGGAGCAAACAGG
rnacentral:rRNA from 1 species